AUUGAACGCUGGCGGCACGCUUUACACAUGCAAGUCGAACGGUAGCAGGCCGCAAGGUGCUGACGAGUGGCGAACGGGUGAGUAAUGCAUCGGAACGUGCCCAGUCGUGGGGGAUAACUACUCGACAGAGUAGCUAAUACCGCAUACGAUCUAUGGAUGAAAGCGGGGGACCGUAAGGCCUCGCGCGAUUGGAGCGGCCGAUGUCAGCUUAGUUAGUUGGUGGGGUAAAGGCUCACCAAGCCAACGAUCUGUAGCUGGUCUGAGAGGACGACCAGCCACACUGGGACUGAGACACGGCCCAGACUACUACGGGAGGCAGCAGUGGGGAAUUUUGGACAAUGGGCGCAAGCCUGAUCCAGCAAUGCCGCGUGCAGGAAGAAGGCCUUCGGGUUGUAAACUGCUUUUGUACGGAACGAAACGGCUCUGGUUAAUACCCGGGGCUAAUGACGGUACCGUAAGAAUAAGCACCGGCUAACUACGUG
rnacentral:rRNA from 1 species